AUGUGCUUCACCGGGUCUCUCACUAGUGGCCUGCAAAGGUGAUGGAACGCAGCUGAGAGGUCUGACAAGAUGUACCAGGUCCCACUGCCACUGGAUCGGGAUGGGACCCUGGUACGGCUCCGCUUCACCAUGGUGGCCCUGGUCACGGUCUGCUGUCCACUUGUCGCCUUCCUCUUCUGCAUCCUCUGGUCCCUGCUCUUCCACUUCAAGGAGACAACGGCCACACACUGUGGGGUGCCCAAUUACCUGCCCUCGGUGAGCUCAGCCAUCGGUGGGGAGGUGCCCCAGCGCUACGUGUGGCGUUUCUGCAUCGGCCUGCACUCGGCGCCUCGCUUCUUGGUGGCCUUCGCCUACUGGAACCACUACCUCAGCUGUACCUCCCCGUGUUCCUGCUAUCGCCCGCUCUGCCGCCUCAACUUCGGCCUCAAUGUCGUGGAGAACCUCGCGUUGCUAGUGCUCACUUAUGUCUCCUCCUCUGAGGACUUCAGUGGGUGCCCGGAUGAGGGAGGAGUGGGGAAGGGUUCCCUGAGGGGACGGGCCUGCCCCUACCACUUUCGGACCUUCCUACUUAGUGGUGUGGGCACUCCCUGCAAUGUGGCUCCCAAUCCUCUUUCCCUCCAGCCGUCCAUGAAAAUGCUUUCAUUGUGUUCAUUGCCUCAUCCCUCGGGCACAUGCUCCUCACCUGCAUUCUCUGGCGGUUGACCAAGAAGCACACAGUAAGUCAGGAGGUACGGUCUAUCCCUAGCGGGGGCUCCAAGUCAGCCCAGAAGAAAAUCAAGGACAUCUGUCCUCA
rnacentral:sRNA from 1 species